UACGUAGGUGGCGAGCGUUGUCCGGAAUUACUGGGCGUAAAGCGCGCGUAGACGGCUCGAUAAGUGAGAUGUGAAAGACCCGGGCUCAACUCGGGGGUUGCAUCUUAGACUGUCGAGCUUGAGUGCAGGAGAGGCAAGUGGAAUUCCCAGUGUAGCAGUGAAAUGCGUAGAGAUUGGGAGGAACACCAGUGGCGAAGGCGACUUGCUGGACUGUAACUGACGUUGAGGUGCGAAAGCUAGGGGAGCAAACGGG
rnacentral:rRNA from 1 species